rnacentral:sRNA from 1 species
CAUAGGAACCAUCAACCAGCAGGCUAUGGACCAACUGUACUAUGUGACAGAGCUGACACAUCGAAUCCGAUCAAAAUCCUCACCUGAUGAGAAUGAGAAUGAGGAUUCAGCUGACUUUGUGAGCUUCUUCCCAGACUUUGUGUGGACACUGAGAGAUUUCUCCCUGGACUUGGAAGCAGAUGGACAACCCCUCACACCAGAUGAGUACCUGACAUACUCCCUGAAGCUGAAGAAAGGUAACAGAGAGCUUCAACUGAUAAACGAGGAUGAGAAAACACAAUAAAUUAUCAUUUUUCAGUUUACUAUUGCUAGUUUUCCCGCAUUUGCAGUUUUCUGUGUCUUCAGCUGGCUAUUCCUAGAAAUUAAUACUUGCUGAAUAUCCAAAUUAAUAGAUGUUAUUUUAAAUUACAUUUGUCAUUGUUCUAGAACAAGUUUCUUUUUCUUUCACCUUUGUGUAUGCUGUGAUUAGGUUAAUUUUAUCUCCCUGCCUAGGGUUUGUGAUCUUCUACUUAGCCAUAGAGUAUGGAGUACAGUGGAUAUUUAUUUAAAGAACAUAGACUAAAACAUGAACCAUGUGCUAGUCCAAGCAUUGGCAAACUACAGCCCAAGACAAAUCAUGGCAAAUCCUGCCUGCCAGCUGUCUUUGUAAAUAAGGUUUUCUUGGAAUAAUGCUAUGCCCAUUCAUUUACAUAUUGUCUAAAGCUGUUGUCAUGCUCCAAUAACAGAGCUGAAUACU